GAUGAACGCUGGCGGCGUGCCUAAUACAUGCAAGUCGAGCGGACAGACGAUGAGCUUGUUCCUUUGACGUUAGCGGCUGACGGGUGAGUAACACGUGGAUAACCUACCUAUAUGUCUGGGGUAACUUCGGGAAACCGGAUCCAAUACCAGAUAAUAUAUUCAACCGCAUGGUUCAAGAGAGAUAGAGGGCUUUGCCGUCUGUAUUAGAUGGUUCCGGGUCGGAUUAGCUAGUUGGUAAGGUAACGGCCAACCAAGGCGACGAUCCGUAGCUGACCUGAGAGGAUGAUCAGCCACACUGGAACUGAGACACGGUCCAGACUCCUACGGGAGGCAGCAGUGGGGAAUAUUCGGCAAUGGGCGAAAGCCUGACCGAGCCAUACCGCGUGAGUGAAGAAGGUCUUCGGGUUGUAAAGCUCUGUUGUUGGGAAAGAAAAGCAGCAUGUGAAUCCCCCGCUGUUCUGACGGUACCUAAAGAAUAAGCACCGGCUAACUUCGUG
rnacentral:rRNA from 1 species